AUUCAGCCCAAAUCGAACGGCCCAAGGACUAAAGCCCAAUUGGAGGAUCCCCAAAUCAGAUAGCCCAAAGAACGAAGUACAAUCGAACAAAUCAAGGUGAAGGCCCAAAUAAGGGGGCCCAAGAGUGCUGUAACGCCAUCGCCCAAGUUUGCAAGUCGCCCAGAAUCUGAACGAAUAGAGUGUCAUACGGUCGCCCAGAACUGUUAUUCUAUUCUCGCCCAAACCUUCAAGUCGCCCAAGGUAUCAACAGACAUAACGCGUCGUGGUUAUCAAGAAAUGCAGUUAAAA
rnacentral:lncRNA from 1 species